AGUCUCCAGGCUUUGAAGUAUUCACAGGAAACUCAGCAAAGAGAAAUCCAGUUACUUUGAGUUACUUUGGGUCGGUGGAUAUAUUGUUUGUUUGGUUUGGUUUUACAGCAGCUGGUGGUGAAGCCCAAGCCCCAUGUGCUGGCACCACCGGAAAUUAAAAUGCCUUCUUUCUUCUUCUACCUGAGACAAGAGAUUUUUAACAUUGCAUUUUGUAAUUCAAGGGAACGAAACAUAGAAGCACACAUGUUGAGUUUUCCCCAUGUUCUAAUGAAAAUUCAGAGCUUUGCAUGCUUUUCGCAUAUAAGUGUAUCUUUCUGAAUUUAUAGCACUUUCAAUAUAUGAGGCAUUUAAGAGUUUACAAAAUGUGUUUGUGUGCAUUAGCUCAUGUAAUCUUUCUAACAAAUCAAGGCAGUGAGCUGGUUACCUCUGGUUUGCAGAUGAGUUGGCCGAGAGAAAGGUGCAGAGACUUGCCCAGCAUCACUUAGCUGGUCGGUGAGUGGCAGACCACAGCCCUGUGUGAUUCCAGAGGGAAUACUUCCAGCUAAGAGACGCUUCUUUCAAUUUAUUGGUGGAAACUUUUUAUAAUUCCUGCCUGUGAGAGAAACAGAAGAACACAGCUUGUUUGGGGGAUCCCAGAUGGAGUUUGCAGGAUGGAUAUUAGAAAAAAAUCAUCUCUUUUGAGUGGUAGACUGAGAAAUUUAAAUUGGAACAGCGAUGAAAAACCAUACACGUCGGGAGAUGGAGUGGGGGUGAGGCAACCCAUGAAGUCAGUUUUGCAUCUGUAAAAAGUCAUUUUGGAGAGUCGAUCUGCACUUUAAGAAUUCCUAAUGGGUACAGUCAGUUCAGACCCAGCUGAAUGUGUUGGAGUCUCUGAUAGUGUUCUUCUAAUUAAAGGGGGGUGGGGAGGGAAACAAUAACAGACACACAAAAACACACACUCAACCAAAGAUGGGGGAAAUGUGAGCACCAGACAUGCUCGUGCUGAUUUGGGGAUGACAGUUGAAGAGACAAGAACAUUUUAUUUCUAACUUCGUCAUUUUGUCCCACUUAAGCAGACCCUGGUAGAAGGAUGCCUGCAUUUGGGAAGUGACACCAGGAAACAGUGGUAGAGUAGUGGAAAAGUGAGUAAGGCUAGGGAAGUCAAUGAAUUAUCAAGCUUGCUACCUUGUGGAUAACUGGGAAGACCACUUAGGAACCCUGGGCAGCAGAAUAGAAUGUGUGCUUCAGAAUGACUCCCCCCGACCCUCGUGAUGCCCCUGUCCCCUGGGGGCUGGGGGAGCUGCAGUACAUAUCUACCAAAUCUUUCUUUCUUUCUUUUUUUUUUCUUUUUGAGAUGGAGUCUCACUCUGUUGCCCAGGCUGGAGUGCAAUGGCACAAUCACGGCUCACUGCAGCAUCAACCUCCCAGGCUCAAGUGAUCCUCCCACCUAAGCCUCCUGAGUAGCUGGGACUACAGGCAUGGUGGGCUCUUCAAAGUAGAGGAUGCUCUAUACACAAAGGAGUUUGUUCUUUGAAUUAUCUUUUAUUUAUUGACAGCUGGGGUGAUGCAGGGCUGUUUCCUGUGUUAAGAGAGUGUCAGUUACUUAGCUAAUCAUAUUUAUCACCCAGGAUUCUUUAUUUGUUGAUAGCACUGGAGUAUAUUGGAGUUUUUGUGUGCUACGUGUAUAUUUCCCUAGCUGCAGUGAAUGUGGUUUUUAUAUUUAUGUGAAACUGCUAAUGUGUUGCUCGCUAGAUCAUGAGCAAUGGGCUUCUGACAGCUCUGUUCAUUAGUCAGCUUGGGGGAAAAAAUAAAAGAAAACACAUUGAUAUAGAAACAGAGUGUGAGCCAGCAAUUAUCAUCAGAGAGCACAAAAUUACUUGAAGUCAGAAGUUUGAGACCAGCCUGGGCAACAUGGUGAAACCCCAUCUCUAUUAAAAAUACAAAAAUUAGCUGGGUAUGGUGGCAGGAGCCUGUAAUCCCAGCUACUCGGGAGGCUGAGGCAGGAGACUUGAUUGAACCAGGGAGGCGGAGGUUGCAGUGAGCUGAGAUCGCACCACUGCACUCCAGCCUGGG
rnacentral:lncRNA from 1 species